AAAACUUACCAGGUCAAGACAUGGGCGUGAUUGACAGGCUAAUGACUUUUCUCGAUUCCAUGGAUGGUGGUGCAUGGUCGCACUUAGUUGGUGCAGUGAUUUGUCAGGUUUAUUCCGGUAACGAACGAGACCUCGGCCUUGUAAAUAGCUAUGCUGCUUACAGGGACAUUGGCGGCUACGCCAAGGAAGCUCGAGGCAAUUGCAGAUCUGGAAUGCCCUUAGAUGUCCUGGGUCGCACGCGUGCUACAAUGACGCCACGAACGAGCUUGCGUGAUGAAAGUUACGCAUAAUCAGCAGUCGGCGUCUUAAGGGAUAGUCUCUUGUAACUGUGGGACUCCAACUAGGAAUGUCUCGUAAGCACAAGUCAACAUCUUGUGUUGAUUACGUCCCUGCUCUUUGUACACACCGCCCGUCGCUCCUACCGAUCGAGUGUUUAGGUGAAUUUGAUGGACGUAAGGAAGUCAAAUAAACCUGAGCACUAGAGAAGAGAGUCGAUCAUC
rnacentral:rRNA from 1 species